GCUCGCUUGGCUAAGUGGUACAGCGCGCCACUUGUACAUAAGGCACUUCAGCAGAGUCCGCACUUGCGGAAGUGUCCUGACUUACAGGCAUGGCGAGAUCACUCGUUCGAACCGGGUAGUGAGCA